GUGGCCACAAAUCCCUGCACCCUGUUGACUACUUUGUUCUGCUCUUGGUCCCUAGUAAGCCCUCGAUCUUGGGGAUCUCAACACUUCAAGUUUCUUCUGAGGGCCGAGAGUCCAGGCUCCUGGAACCAGAACCCAGCUGGGCCACUGUAGACACCCAAGCCAGCUGCAGUUCCCUCUGAGGGCCUGAUUUGCUGUGAGUACACUUUGAGGCUCCUCAGGUUACUGCCUGCUUCUACCACCAGCCCCUCAACUAUCAAUGCAACUUUUCCGGGGAACAGAAGCAUGCCAGGGCUGGCAGGUGGUACCAGGGGCCAUGGCCACCUCGGCUUUCUGGUGCAGCAAGACCCUGGGCGUGCAGAGGAUCUCUUGGGAGUCUGGCUGUCCUUGACUUCCUACAGGGCUUGUGCAGAGAGGAAGGCCAGAGGGGGAGAAGCGGUUCCCAUACUAUCCUCAAGUCAUGAGGGAGGACAGCCUGUGUUCGGGCCACGUUUCAUCCUUGGGACCACGAGAGCCGUACGCAGGGAGGAGCAUCCUGUGUCCUGUGAGAAGUGUGCCCGAGAGGCGGCCUACAUGACGCUGGCUCCCAGGGAGAGGAGGAAGAGGAGGAGAAGGGGAAGGAGGAGCACAACGGGAGGAGGAGGGCAGAGGACGCCCGGCUGUCCUCAAAGGGCUACCAACUCAUCCUCCGAGGGAAAGAGAAUCUUCAAGGCUCCUGAGACACCGCCCUGAACCAUUUCCUACCUUUUGUCUUUCUUCUCUUCUCUUCUCUUCUUGUCUCUGUCUCUUUCUCUUUCUCUCUCUCCUCCCUUCCAGUUUUGCUUUUGAGGAAUGAACUUAUUAUGAAAAUUCACAUUAAUAAUAAAAGUUCAAUCAAUACAAAAGGACACACAUUGUCAUGGUUUGGACCCUAUUUUGCAAGGGUAAAAAAUAUAAUACAAGACAUAUUU
rnacentral:lncRNA from 1 species